CAGCCAAUGAGAAGCCUCUGCCACGCUCAGCCAAUGAGAAGCCACCACCAUCACCGGCAGCCAAUGAGAAGCCUCUGCCACGCUCAGGCAAUGAGAAGCCACCACCAUCACCUGCAGCCAAUGAGAAGCUGCCGCCGCACUCAGCCAGUCGACCCUUUCCGGCCUGCGAAUCCUCCAGCCCUGCCUGGGAAGCGGAGAACCCAGCUCGAAGACUAUCUUUCCUCUCACGGAUCUACGUGGCGCCCUCGCCCGAGGAGGCCGUUAACCCCGUGACCCGCCCUAAGUCACUAAAAGCCAUUUUCGUGGGCUCCGGGGCCCCGGAAGCGACCAGUAAGGAAUUCUGUUCUUCAAAAACCGUUUCUGUUGCUCAGAAGCCAGUUUCCGUCAGAUGUUGAUUUGGGCUUUGCAGACUGUAACCCACGCCCAGGGUUUCCUGACAAAACACCGUGUUCUGGAGGACGCGAGUCCCAAGGAGUGGACCCGCCCCCCCCCGGCCGGACCCCCGGGCGGCCUCGCGCUACCGAACUGUGCCCGUGUCAGGUUGUACUUGAGAAAAGUGCAAGACAUUUUUGAAUAUUUUCUGCGGAGUUUCAUGAAUAUGCUUUUGCGACGACUUAAUGUGAAUCUUUUGUAACCUGCCAGUAAUCUUAAUGUGCGACCAUACUGUAUUAUCAGGCUUGUAAAAUGUAUGGACUAUAAAAAAGAAAUUCUGAAAAGAUGCAAAACUAAUGCUGUACUCAUGCAUUAAUUACUGAAAAGUUGCACUGGCUCAUCAUUCCAUUGUUGAAUGGAAGCGUCGUUCAAAUUUAUGAAAUGACUAUUCACGACUCAGUAUUUUCUGGCAAGAAAAACAAUUAUUCAUUCAACAAAUAUUAGUGUUAGAGGUGUUAGGGUGCGUCACUGAAAUUCUGCCCUGUAGAGACUUCGGUCCUAGAGCAGAGAUGGGAAUGCAGAAGGAACAGCUGGCUUAUUAAUGUAACAACUGAGGAAGCAGACGACUUUUAUCUUGGAUACAGAAAAAGUAUAAGGUGCACUUGGAGGGUGCUGAGAAGAAUUUCAGCAAUACAGUUUUACCAACACAAAUUCAAAUUGUUAUGUAAGAUUUUUUUAUAUGGAAAAUCAUAAUGUUUUAAUAGGCUUAUUUAUAUUUAUAUAUGUAAACAUGCAAAUUCUUAAUAUUUAAUAGGUUUAUUUAUUGUAUACUUUUAUUGAUGAAAGCAUCUACACAUACACAGAAUAGAGCAGUGGACUUCAUAUAUGUCACCCAGCUUUGGCAAUCAUUAGCAUUUUGCCAUACUUGUUUUACUGAUCUUCAGUUUUCUUUUUGCUGGAGUAAUUUCAAAGAAAACCUUAAACACGUCAUUUCACCUGGGAAACCAUCAGUCGCAUCUCAAAUAAAAAAGGCAUUUUCCAGGGCUCCUGGGUGAUU
rnacentral:lncRNA from 12 species